rnacentral:rRNA from 1 species
AUGUGCUCCAUUUGUGGAGUAGAAGAGGAAAGCACAUUUCAUGCCCUAGUUAUUUGUCCUAAGGCUCGUGCACUGCGACUGGCCUUGAGAGAAUCGUGGAAUAUUCCUGAUGAAGAGUGGUUCAAAUUCCCGGGACCAGAUUGGCUAUUGAUUUUAUUGGAUUUUUUGAGCUUGCAACAGAGAGAGCAAGUUUUGUUUCUGUUCUGGCGAGCAUGGCACCUGAGAAAUGAUUUAAUUUUUGGGAAAGGGAAGGAAUCCAUUGCUGCAUCUGCAAUUUUUGUGGUAAACUAUUGGUCUUCUUUUACGUCCAGUCACAACUCUGUUGAGGUUGUUACUAGUAACAAAGGUAAAGGGAAAAUGGGAGGUGCUACACCAGAUUUCGCAACAUCACAAGAACAGGUGGGAUGGAAGCCUCCUCCAGAUGAUUAUAUCAAGAUCAAUGUUGAUGCCAGCUAUGUGGAGAGUAUUAGUGCGGCCAGUGUGGCGGUGGUUGUUAGGAACUCAUCUGGUGAAGUUAUUAUUUCUUCGUGGGACUUUCUGGGUCAGUGUUGCAGCGUGAACGAAGCCGAGCUACGUGCUUGUCUGGCAGGCCUUUAUAUAGGUAUUACUCUGUUGGGGAACGUAGCAGAAAUUUAA